rnacentral:rRNA from 1 species
GAUGAACGCUGGCGGCGUGCCUAAUACAUGCAAGUCGAGCGAACGGACGAGAAGCUUGCUUCUCUGAUGUUAGCGGCGGACGGGUGAGUAACACGUGGAUAACCUACCUAUAAGACUGGGAUAACUUCGGGAAACCGGAGCUAAUACCGGAUAAUAUUUUGAACCGCAUGGUUCAAAAGUGAAAGACGGUCUUGCUGUCACUUAUAGAUGGAUCCGCGCUGCAUUAGCUAGUUGGUAAGGUAACGGCUUACCAAGGCAACGAUGCAUAGCCGACCUGAGAGGGUGAUCGGCCACACUGGAACUGAGACACGGUCCAGACUCCUACGGGAGGCAGCAGUAGGGAAUCUUCCGCAAUGGGCGAAAGCCUGACGGAGCAACGCCGCGUGAGUGAUGAAGGUCUUCGGAUCGUAAAACUCUGUUAUUAGGGAAGAACAUAUGUGUAAGUAACUGUGCACAUCUUGACGGUACCUAAUCAGAAAGCCACGGCUAACUACGUGCCAGCAGCCGCGGUAAUACGUAGGUGGGCAGCGUUAUCCGGAAUUAUUGGGCGUAAAGCGCGCGUAGGCGGUUUUUUAGUCUGAUGUGAAAGCCCGCGGCUCAACCGUGGAGGGUCAUUGGAAACUGGAAAACUUGAGUGCAGAAGAGGAAAGUGGAAUUCCAUGUGUAGCGGUGAAAUGCGCAGAGAUAUGGAGGAACACCAGUGGCGAAGGCGACUUUCUGGUCUGUAACUGACGCUGAUGUGCGAAAGCGUGGGGAUCAGACAGGAUUAGAUACCCUGGUAGUCCACGCCGUAAACGAUGAGUGCUAAGUGUUAGGGGGUUUCCGCCCCUUAGUGCUGCAGCUAACGCAUUAAGCACUCCGCCUGGGGAGUACGACCGCAAGGUUGAAACUCAAAGGAAUUGACGGGGACCCGCACAAGCGGUGGAGCAUGUGGUUUAAUUCGAAGCAACGCGAAGAACCUUACCAAAUCUUGACAUCCUUUGACAACUCUAGAGAUAGAGCUUUCCCCUUCGGGGGACAAAGUGACAGGUGGUGCAUGGUUGUCGUCAGCUCGUGUCGUGAGAUGUUGGGUUAAGUCCCGCAACGAGCGCAACCCUUAAGCUUAGUUGCCAUCAUUAAGUUGGGCACUCUAAGUUGACUGCCGGUGACAAACCGGAGGAAGGUGGGGAUGACGUCAAAUCAUCAUGCCCCUUAUGAUUUGGGCUACACACGUGCUACAAUGGACAAUACAAAGGGCAGCGAAACCGUGAGGUCAAGCAAAUCCCAUAAAGUUGUUCUCAGUUCGGAUUGUAGUCUGCAACUCGACUACAUGAAGCUGGAAUCGCUAGUAAUCGUAGAUCAGCAUGCUACGGUGAAUACGUUCCCGGGUCU